UAGAACUCGGGUGAAGGAACUAGGCAAAAUGGCACCGUAACUUCGGGAGAAGGUGCGCCUCUUGGUGUGGUCACGUGCGUGACUGAGCAUCGAGGGGUCGCAGUAACCUGGCCGCUGCGACUGUUUAUCAAAAACACAGCACUCUGCAAACACGAGAGUGGACGUAUAGGGUGUGACGCCUGCCCGGUGCUGGAAGGUUAAUUGAUGGGGUCAGCCGCAAGGCGAAGCUCUUGAUCGAAGCCCCAGUAAACGGCGGCCGUAACAAUAACGGUCCUAAGGUAGCGAAAUUCCUUGUCGGGUAAGUUCCGACCUGCACGAAUGGCGUAACGACAGCGGCGCUGUCUCCACCCGAGACUCAGUGAAAUUGAAAUCGCUGUGAAGAUGCAGCGUUCCCGCGGCAAGACGGAAAGACCCCGUGAACCUUUACUAUAGCUUUACACUGAACGUUGAGUUCUUCUGUGUAGGAUAGGUGGGAGGCUAUGAAACCAGGACGCUAGUUCUGGUGGAGCCAUCCUUGAAAUACCACCCUGAAGUGCUUGACGUUCUAACCUAGGUCCGUAAUCCGGAUCGGGGACCGUGUAUGGUGGGUAGUUUGACUGGGGCGGUCUCCUCCCAAAGAGUAACGGAGGAGCACGAAGGUACGCUCAGCGCGGUCGGACAUCGCGCACUGUGUGCAAGGGCAUAAGCGUGCUUGACUGCGAGAUCGACGGAUCAAGCAGGUACGAGAGUAGGUCUUAGUGAUCCGGUGGUUCUGCAUGGAAGGGCCAUCGCUCAACGGAUAAAAGGUACUCCGGGGAUAACAGGCUGAUACCGCCCAAGAGUUCAUAUCGACGGCGGUGUUUGGCACCUCGAUGUCGGCUCAUCACAUCCUGGGGCUGUAGCCGGUCCCAAGGGUAUGGCUGUUCGCCAUUUAAAGUGGUACGCGAGCUGGGUUCAGAACGUCGUGAGACAGUUCGGUCCCUAUCUGUCGUGGGCGUUGGAGAUUUGAGGGGGGCUGCUCCUAGUACGAGAGGACCGGAGUGGACGUUCCGCUGGUGUUCGGGUUGUCAUGCCCAUGGCAUUGCCCGGUAGCUACGAACGGAAGUGAUAACCGCUGAAAGCAUCUAAGCGGGAAGCACGCCCCAAGAUGAGAUCUCCCGAGAGCUUGACUCUCCUAAAGGCACCAUCAAGACUAGGUGGUUGAUAGGCACGGUGUGGAAGUGCAGCAAUGCAUUGAGCUUACGUGUACUAAUGAGCCGUGAGGCUUGACCG
rnacentral:rRNA from 1 species